rnacentral:tRNA from 1 species
AGAAUUAUAGCUUAGUAGUAGGGCACUUGCCUAGUAUUCAUGAGACCCUGGGCUCAAUUCCCAGUACUA